rnacentral:lncRNA from 1 species
GCCAGCAACCAGCAUGCCUCACUCCUGCUGCCAAUGAAGACAUCCCUGCCAAUGAAAGACUGGUUCUGUGAAAUCCCAUUUCUCAGCCCUGAGCUGGCCUUUUAGAUGGGUCACUGAGAGAGAGAUACGAAUGACUGCAGUUCUCCAUCAUCUCCUCAUGAGGAGGGAGGCACGUCUGAAGGCAGAACAAGCCAAGAGGAGAGCUGCAGAUGCAGUUUAGCCUGAUGCGCUGGACUGUGCAUGAUCCCACUUCCUGAGAAAUCUCCUUCGGUGCAGCGUGUGCUUACAGCUGCUAUCCAGGUUUCCCAGUUCCUGCUUCUCCACUGUCCCCUCACCCUCAUGAGAGCCACCUUUGCCCAAAAUGAUCAUACUGUCUGCAUGGCCACUUCCUCCAGGAGUUGGGAGCAUUGGGUGGGUGACUGCCAUCUGAUGAGGAAAGCAGACCUGCGUGGCCUCUCUGAAUUUUCCCAUGCUUCUAGGCCGCUUCCUGCCAAGGCGUAACUCCAACCUCUGCAGUCCUUAGCCCGGAUGUGGCUAGGAAAAUGAGAUGCUUUUGGAGCCGGUUCGGCGGCAUGAGUCGUCCUGGGUACUCAUCUCGCUCAUGGGACCGGACACUCAGCAGUUGCGUGUGACUCAGACCCAGCUACUUGGCUAGCCUUGGAGACCGGGCUAGUAUUUUGUAAAUGGGAACAACAGGAGCAGAAGUGUCUCCUUUCACGUGAUUGCCUCUUUGCUGGGCCAAGAGCUGUCAGGGCCGCAGCCGCCGCUGUCCACACCGCGCGCCAAGUGGCUUUGAGAACCUUACGCACCACAGCCCCGCAGCCCGCGGAAACCACGCGGAUCGCGGAUGUACUACGCUGCACGCCAGCGCGCCAGCGCACAGGAGUCAAAUAGUCUCCUGCCCCCAACCCUCCAGCCCCGGCCGCUCCCAUUCUCGGUCCUCA